GGCCUCUCGGGGAGGGACCCGUUGUGGACACGUUUGCGCAGCCGGUGCCCUGGCAGGAGGGACUGGCUUAUGCCACCCUGUGCAGGAUCGUCUUCUCAGCUUACAGAGCCUAGUGUGAUUCAACAACCCUCCAUCUCUGCCCCCAACAUGCCCAACUGAUCUGGUGGAGGGAACUGAAGAUGAAGGCCUCUCAGGCACCAUGGAUGGGAUGGGUGUGUGUGAAGGGGGCAGGGUCCCCAGGAGCUGCCCCAGGUCUGGCUGGACAGUUGCACGGGAAGUCCUGUUUGUGAACUCAACGUUUCCACGGCUUUUCCAUUAAACUUUACCCCAAAUCACACCUGGCUCUGUGGGUUUCCUUCCAUUCUCCAAGGCCUCCCUGGGGUCUCUGGGAAGUGUGGGCCAGGGAAGGGGGCAAAGGAC
rnacentral:lncRNA from 1 species